AAACCAACCGGGAUUGCCUCAGUAACGGCGAGUGAAGCGGCAAAAGCUCAAAUUUGAAAUCCGCAAGGAAUUGUAAUUUGAAGACAAUCAGUUGGCAGCGCAACAAGUUGCUUGGAACAGCACACCAUAGAGGGUGAGAGUCCCGUGUAGCAGCAGCCUUUUACUGUAUGUCGACGAGUCGAGUUGUUUGGGAAUGCAGCUCUAAGUGGGUGGUAAACUCCAUCUAAAGCUAAAUAUUGGCGAGAGACCGAUAGCGAACAAGUACAGUGAUGGAAAGAUGAAAAGCACUUUGAAAAGAGAGUGAAACAGCACGUGAAAUUGCUGGAAGGGAAGGGCUUGCAGCCAGACAGCGUUCGCGCGCCUAGCUUUGGUUUGUGUUGGUAGAUAACCCCGUAGGAAUGUGGCUCGUUCGCGAGUGUUAUAGCCUGCGGUAAUGUGCCAGCGUAGACUACAGCUG
rnacentral:rRNA from 1 species